GACGAACGCUGGCGGCGUGCCUAAUACAUGCAAGUAGAACGCUAAAGAGAGGAGCUUGCUCUUCUUGGAUGAGUUGCGAACGGGUGAGUAACGCGUAGGUAACCUGCCUUGUAGCGGGGGAUAACUAUUGGAAACGAUAGCUAAUACCGCAUAACAAUGGAUGACACAUGUCAUUUAUUUGAAAGGGGCAAUUGCUCCACUACAAGAUGGACCUGCGUUGUAUUAGCUAGUAGGUGAGGUAAUGGCUCACCUAGGCGACGAUACAUAGCCGACCUGAGAGGGUGAUCGGCCACACUGGGACUGAGACACGGCCCAGACUCCUACGGGAGGCAGCAGUAGGGAAUCUUCGGCAAUGGGGGCAACCCUGACCGAGCAACGCCGCGUGAGUGAAGAAGGUUUUCGGAUCGUAAAGCUCUGUUGUAAGUCAAGAACGGGUGUGAGAGUGGAAAGUUCACACUGUGACGGUAGCUUACCAGAAAGGGACAGCUAACUACGUG
rnacentral:rRNA from 1 species